AUACAGCUAGAUCCAUACCCCUAAACUCCCUAGAUAAGGACAGCGCCAUUCCCUGCGCUGUCCCCUUUUU
rnacentral:sRNA from 1 species